rnacentral:rRNA from 1 species
AGUGAACGCUGGCGGUAUGCCUAACACAUGCAAGUCGAGCGGACGCACGGUAAGAUCUUGCUCUUGCUGUUGGCGACUGGCGGAUGGGUAACGCAUGCAUCAGAUACUUCUUUUUCUGGGGGAAUUUCGGAGGGACACAUACACUAAUACAUCAUACUAUGUACGGGUUGAAGCAGGAGUGCUUCGGACUUUUCGCGAUUCAUAUAGCUGAUGUCGGAUUAGCUAGUUGGCUGGGUAAAGGCCCACCAAGGCGACGAUCCGUAGCUGGUCUGAGAGGAUGAUCAGCCACACUGGAACUGAGACACGGUCCAGACUCCUACGGGAGGCAGCAGUGGGGAAUAUUGGACAAUGGGCGCAAGCCUGAUCCAGCCAUACCGCGUGGGUGAAGAAGGCCUUCGGGUUGUAAAGCCCUUUUGUUGGGAAAGAAAAGCAGCAGGUUAAUACCCCGCUGUUCUGACGGUACCCAAAGAAUAAGCACCGGCUAACUUCGUG